rnacentral:rRNA from 1 species
UACAGAGGUCUCAAGCGUUGUUCGGAAUCACUGGGCGUAAAGGGUGCGUAGGCUGCGCCGUAAGUCAGAUGUGAAAGCUCAGGGCUCAACCCUGAAAUUGCAUCCGAUACUGCGGUGCUUGAGAAAUGAAGGGGAGUCUAGAAUUUUCGGUGUAGCAGUGAAAUGCGUAGAUAUCGAAAGGAAUACCAAAGGCGAAGGCAGGGCUCUGGGCAUUUUCUGACGCUGAUGCACGAAGGCCAGGGUAGCGAACGGG